UACGUAGGGGGCUAGCGUUGUCCGGAAUCAUUGGGCGUAAAGAGCGUGUAGGCGGUCCGGUAAGUCCGCUGUGAAAGUCGGGGGCUCAACCCUCGAAUGCCGGUGGAUACUGUCGGGCUAGGGUGCGGAAGAGGCGAGUGGAAUUCCUGGUGUAGCGGUGAAAUGCGCAGAUAUCAGGAGGAACACCUAUUGCGAAGGCAGCUCGCUGGGACGUAACUGACGCUGAGACGCGAAAGCGUGGGGAGCAAACAUGGAUAGAUAC
rnacentral:rRNA from 1 species